AUGCUUGUCUCGAAGAUUAAGCCAUGCAAGCCCAGAAUAAGCAUAUUCACGGCGAAUCUGCGAACGGCUCAUUAAAUCAGUCAUAGUUUAUUUGAUAGUCCCUACCACAUGGAUAACCGUGGUAAUUCCCCGGCUAAUACAUGCACUAAAGGGUGGUUUACGCCACUUGUAUUUAUUAGGUAAACCAGCACACGGCGUGGGCAACUGCGUCGUGGUCUGUGAUCAAUAAUAACUGCGCGAAUCGUAUGGCCUUGCGCCGACGAUGAAUCAUUUAAAUCUCUGCCCUAUCAACUUUGGACGGUAAGGUCUUUAGAAACGGCCGCCACUUCCAAGGAAGGCAGCAGGCGCGCAAAUUACCCAAUUCCGUUUCGGAGAGGUAGUGAAGACAAAUAACAAUGUGUGGCUCAACGAGUCGCACAAUUGGAAUGCAAGAACAUUAAAUUCUUUCUAGUACAAUUGAAGGGUAAGUCUGGUGCCAGCAGCCGCGGUAAUACCAGCUUCAAUAGCGUAUGUUAAAUUUGCUGCAGUUAAAAAGCUCGUAGUUGGAUUUCAGCGUGAGGACGGGCGGUCCUGGAAACAGAGUACUGCACACAAACCGGCUUCACGCUUCCUUCUGGCAGCGCUAUGUUCACUCUUCAGUGAGUGGGUGUAGUGACUCCGGAUCGGUUACUUUGAACAAAUUAGAGUGUUUAAAGCAGGCGUUUGCCUUGAAUACGUUAGCAUGGAAUAACAAAAUGGGCUUUGACUGUCAUUUUGUUGGUUCAGAUGGUCAAGGAAUGAUUAAUAGGGAUAGUUGGGGGCAUCAAAAUUUUGGAGCUAGAGGUGAAAUUCUUAGAUUUCCGAAAGAUUAACUUCUGCGAAAGCGUUUGCCAAGUAUAUUCUCAUUAAUCAAGAACGAAAGUUAGGGGAUCGAAGACGAUCAGAUACCGUCGUAGUCUUAACCAUAAACGAUGCCGACUAGGGAUCCGGGGAAAUUCGAUUUGAUGACUUCCUGGGCACCUUCCGAGAAAUCAAAGUCUUUGGGUUUUGGGGGGAGUAUGGUCGCAAGGCUGAAACUUAAAGGAAUUGACGGAAGGGCACACCAGGAGUGGAGCCUGCGGCUUAAUUUGACCCAACACGGGAAAACU
rnacentral:rRNA from 1 species